rnacentral:misc_RNA from 1 species
CCAAUAGCGUAUAUUAAAGUUGUUGCAGUUAAAAAGCUCGUAGUUGAAUUUCGGGAUCAAUUUGUCGGUCGUGCCUCGGUACGUACUGGCAUUAUUGGUUUCUCCCUUCUGACGAACCACGAUGUCAUUAAUUUGGUGUCGCGGGAAAUCAGGACUGUUACUUUGAAAAAAUUAGAGUGUUUAAAGCAAGCUCACGCUUGAAUACAUUAGCAUGGAAUAAUGAAAUAGGACGUUUGAUUCUAUUUUGUUGGUUUCUAGGAUCGACGUAAUGAUUAAUAGGGAUAGUUGGGGGCAUUAGUAUUCAAUUGUCAGAGGUGAAAUUCUUGGAUUUAUUGAAGACUAACUACUGCGAAAGCAUUUGCCAAGGAUGUUUUCAUUAAUCAAGAACGAAAGUUAGGGGAUCGAAGACGAUCAGAUACCGUCGUAGUCUUAACCAUAAACUAUGCCGACUAGGAAUCAGACGAUGUUAAUUUUUUAAUGACUCGUUUGGCACCUUACG